AUUACAGGCAGGUUGCGGGCUACGUCCGUGCAGCGUGUCCGUGGGCGCAGAGGCCGGCCAAUAAUAAGGAGCGGCGGCGGUGGAGAGCGGUGUAGGUACGUGCGGACGCCAGUCCGAGCGGAACGGACGCGCGUUCGCGAUCGCAUUCACGGGGUCAGGUACGCGAGAGAGCUACCUGCAUCACGGAGGGCCGGUGCGCACACAGUCACGAGGCGACGAUACAGGAGGAACAGGCGAACGCGUUCACGUGCAACGUGAAAACGGUCUGGGCUGCCGGUAUCGGCAAGUGAGGCGCGGUGGGUGUCGGUGUCGGUGCAGCGCCGGGGCGUGUGAACGCUGUGACAUAUGCGGCGUGUCGCUUUCUUUAAUCGCCUCUGGCCGGAUAGCUGCAUGUAUGGCCCAUUCGCCUCGGUGGAACGCGAGGAGAGCCAACCAGAUACGCUUCGUUUGAACGCUUCGAAGGCGGGAAUCGUGUGUCGCGGGACUCGUGAUGAGAGAUCGGGAGACGAUUGGUCAUGGGCCUUUUCGAGAUAUCAAUCUCGAGACGGUUUCGGGAUUAUCCGUGGCGAAAUUCCAAGUCGUUUCCAGAGUAAUUUGAUACUUUCGAAUCGCGCAAGGUAUCGGUUAAUUCUUGAUCCUCGAAUUUUUUAAAAUUCUGUGUAUUGGGAUCGUAAAUUGUUUGAUUAUUAAAAAAAGAACUGGAAAUUCAAUGAAAAUAUCGAUUUAGAGCAAAUUCCAAAAUUUUCGAGAUUUCUUUUAGAUCAUCUUCGAAACUCGACGAAAUAUUCUUAUUUGCUAUCGAGAUUUCAAUAUCUUGUAUAUACAAAUGACUCGAUCCAUCGAUUCUACGGAUCUACAAUCACGAUGCACCAGCUUCUGCUCGCUCUCACGAUCGUCCUCGCGUCGUAUCGGUCACGAAUCGGAAAGGAACUGUCGGGAAAUGCGAUUUCUCGCCAGAGCCAGGGAAAUUGGCUCAACGCCGAUUUAGGCGCCUUUGAGGCUCCUUUCAUGGGCCUGCAACACGUAACGUUGACUUAUUGGCCAUUUCGUGUCCGCGAUCACUCCGUGGACUCGAGGAAGUCAACGGGAGACUAGAAAGUAUGCGCAUCGAGUUGGAAGAUGAAAUUCGAUUUUUAUACUACGAAACAUUUCGAUUGAAUUUCGUUCAUUUUAUUUCAUUUUUUCGCUUGUUAAUAGUUAAUAAUGUCGAAUAAAGAGAUUCGAAUGCAAAAAAAAAAUUUGUUAUUCACGGUGUUGGUUAUAUAUUCGUUAUUGGAUCGCUAUGUUUCGAAAUCGCGGAUGUAUAAACGAUCGUUAAUUGCCGCGAUCAAUCUGUUACGACGUAUUAGAUAUUGCUAUUAUCAAGCAACAGAUCGGAACGUCGAAUUUAUAGAAGAGAAAUUUGUUAAGUGGAUAGCUCAGUUACAAUAGUGAUAUGUAAAUAUGUGAAAGAUUUCUACGAAUGAAUUUCUAGCGAUGAAUCAUUUAACUUCAUAAUUAUUUUGAAUGUUAGAGCUCAAUGUUUCGAACGUAAGUGUUGAAAUACCCAUUGAAAUCCAGAUUUAUAGAAAUUAUUUGAUUUUUUUUUUGUACAAAAAUAUCUUGGAAAAUAUUCGGAAUAGAAAGUAGAAACUUAGUUUUAUAAUUAAUAGAUUUGACUAAUUUCUUUUUUUAAACUACUUCUUAUGUACACAAUAAUUAAAUUCUUCGAGAUAAUAGCAGCAAAUAGACAUAUUAAAAAUGAUUGCUUUAUAGAAACGAUAUCUUAAAUAUAACCACGUAACGUAUGAAUCACUCCUGCUGUGAAAGUUAUCCAUAAAUUCGUUGAACUUUCAAAUGUUCUCUUUCGAAUCCCUAUACUGAAAUAAUUUCUUCUCCGCUUAUUUCCUGAUACAUCUAUUUUCAUCGAUUUUAUGCAUUACAAUAUCGAAGUAGAAAGAAUGCAAUACACUUAAAACGUAUUAUUCGAAAACGGAACAAUGCAUUUCAUUUUGCCUUGAUUGAGAUUAACUUAUAAUAUUGCAAUAAGAAUAAGAAGAAUGCAAUGAAUAAUAAAUAAGAAAACAUUCGAAAACAAGACAAUACAUUCCAUUCUUUCUAAUUACACUAAAAUUAGGUUAUGUUAGGUUAUACGUACAAUAUUAGGGAGAGUGCGAUGCAACGGGUAAUAAAUAUUGUCCGAAAACGGAACAAUGCAUUCAACGCAUUCCAUUCUUAAUAUCCAAUCAUCAUAUUCACGCGAAAUGUCUCGACAGGCGAUUUUCUUGACGGCUUCAUUGCACGUGACCUCGGCCAAAGGACGAAACUGCCCCGCGGACUCUCGUAACGACGUGCGCGCAUCGUGCGUCGCGCAUCGCGCGUAAAUCCGUCGUCGUCCGUCGUGAGGCGCGCGCGGCACUCGAGCUCGCAGAUUAAUAACGCGAUAAAUUCAACGCUUACCCAGGUGGGCGUGCGUGCCGCGUACGAGCAGGUAGAUAGAGCUACACGAUGCUCCUCCUUUUUUCACUACCGCCCGAUACACUGUCGUCAUCCGUCGAAUCACGAUUAAUGCGGCUCGCGAGGAAUCUUGCGAGUACUCGGAGUAUUUUUCAAUAGCCAAUCUCGUAGUAAACAUAUUAAGACGUUUAUUUAUAUACGUACACGUUGAAAUAAUUUUCUUUAAUUGUUGUACGUUACAUUGUUUUUUAUCAGGAACGAGGAGCACGAAGAUGAGCAAUCGUGUGGAAGUAAAACGGCUCGAUCACCGAUACUAAUAGCCGACGUAUUAUGUCAACCGUUAACCGGACAACCGUUUAUUAGGGGGUUGCGGCGCGAUAAAAAAACGCGUUUUGCAUAAUGCAAGAUAAUCAAGCGAGACAGGUUUGGGACAGGUGUGCCGCUACCAGCGCACUCCGCCUUCCCCUUGGAGCAUCCUCGACGUGUAAAUUAAUAAUCUAUUAGACAUCCUCUCGUGUCUUCCUCUUCUUCGUUUCUUUCGCGCGGCUCUUAUUUGCUUCCUUUUUUACCGGAUCACAUUUGUGCUUGUCUUUCAGUAUAUUAUUAUUAAACGAUUCUUUUUUUUUAACGCGAUUUUGUUUUCUUUAUCUUGACAUACUUCUAAUUUUCUUUUUUUUCAUUUCUUCUCUUUGCCUAAUUUUUCUUUAAACGUGAAGUAUAAUUUUCAAUUUUAUAAUUUUCUCUCUCUUUCUCUCUCUCUUUCUAUACUUCUAUCUUCUUCAUCAUUACUCUGCUGAAAUCUACGUUUGUUUCAAACUACUUGUUCUCACAUUUCCCACUUGUUCUUCCUACCCCCAUCAUUCUCCCCUUUUAUCUAUUCCACACGGAAAUAUCCUCUUUUCCAACACCUCUUCAACUUCCUAUCGCAAUUCUUCUCGACAGCCUAACUUGCUUCUGGCGACGUAUUAACCGACGCGAAACUGGCAGGUUAUCGUGCGUACUGGCUAACUCGUAAAUGUUGGAUAAUAAGAUCGAAAGAGAAAAAUAGAAUGGAAAUGUCGGUUCAAUAACGAGGGAGGUAGUUUGGUUUAUUCGAUAUAAGCGACAAAAUUUUCAUAUUUUAUUAUUUUUCCAAAAAUACAUUUGUAUUAUUCUCUUAUAAAAUUCACCUAUUGGAAUAUUUGUUUCUACGACUCUUUCUGAAUGAAAUAUACUCGAGAUGCUAUCUCGUACUUAAUCGUACAGCCUCGAUCGAAUUUCAUUGCAUAUUAAUAUCAAGAUAGAUCCGAUUAGAUUGGAUCAACGAGUGCAAUUUAUUACUUUCGCGCGACAAAUGCUUUGUUUAAUUUACCAUUUAAAAAUUCAUCUUUUAGGCGUAAUAUUGAUCAAAUUUUAUUUGAUUUGUGCCAGCUACUAAUUAUCAUGAAAAAUAUAAUAAACGUAACUCAACAAUUCCAAUUAAUCUUUCAUUUUAUCGAAUGAAAUUUUAGUAAAUCUAGAAUAAUCACAUGACAUUA